GACGAACGCUGGCGGCGUGCUUAACACAUGCAAGUCGAACGGAAAGGCCCUGCUUUUGUGGGGUGCUCGAGUGGCGAACGGGUGAGUAACACGUGAGUAACCUGCCCUUGACUUUGGGAUAACUUCAGGAAACUGGGGCUAAUACCGGAUAGGAGCUCCUGCUGCACGGUGGGGGUUGGAAAGUUUCGGCGGUUGGGGCUAGACUCGCGGCUUAUCAGCUUGUUGGUGGGGUAGUUGCUUACCAAGGCUUUGACGGGUAGCCGGCCUGAGAGGGUGACCGGCCACAAUGGGACUGAGGUAGGGACCAGAAUCCUAUGGGCGGCAUCGGUGGAAAAUCUUGCAGAGCAAGCGGAAGCCUGAUGCAACGACGCCGCGUGCGGAAUGCCGGCCUACGAGUUGUAAACCGCUUUCGACUGUGACGAGGAGUGAGUGACGGUAAUGGGUAAAGAAGCACCGGCUAACUACGUG
rnacentral:rRNA from 1 species